rnacentral:rRNA from 1 species
UACGGAGGGAGCUAGCGUUGUUCGGAAUUACUGGGCGUAAAGCGCGUGUAGGCGGCUUGUUAUGUCGGGUGUGAAAGCCCUCAGCUUAACUGAGGAAGUGCGCCCGAAACUGGCGAGCUUGAGUACCGGAGAGGAGAGUGGAACACCCGGUGUAGAGGUGAAAUUCGUAGAUAUCGGGUAGAACACCAGUGGCGAAGGCGGCUCUCUGGACGGAUACUGACGCUGAGACGCGAAAGCGUGGGGAGCAAACAGG